GACGAACGCUGGCGGCGUGCCUAAUACAUGCAAGUAGAACGCUGAAGGAGGAGCUUGCUUCUCUGGAUGAGUUGCGAACGGGUGGGUAACGCGUAGGUAACCUGCCUGGUAGCGGGGGAUAACUAUUGGAAACGAUAGCUAAUACCGCAUAAGAGUAGAUGUUGCAUGACAUUUGCUUAAAAGGUGCAAUUGCAUCACUACCAGAUGGACCUGCGUUGUAUUAGCUAGUUGGUGGGGUAACGGCUCACCAAGGCGACGAUACAUAGCCGACCUGAGAGGGUGAUCAGCCACACUGGGACUGAGACACGGCCCAGACUCCUACGGGAGGCAGCAGUAGGGAAUCUUCGGCAAUGGACGGAAGUCUGACCGAGCAACGCCGCGUGAGUGAAGAAGGUUUUCGGAUCGUAAAGCUCUGUUGUAAGAGAAGAACGAGUGUGAGAGUGGAAAGUUCACACUGUGACGGUAUCUUACCAGAAAGGGACGGCUAACUACGUG
rnacentral:rRNA from 1 species